rnacentral:lncRNA from 1 species
CUCUGUAUCCUGCUUUGAGCACUGCUAUUGGGUGCUGUGAGGGGACCUCAAGUAAGCUCCAUUUUUGAAACAUGGAUGCAGUAACUUAUGAUGAUGUGCGUGUGAACUUCACUGAGGAAGAGUGGGAUUUGCUGGAUCCUUCCCAGAAAAGUCUCUAUGAAGAGGUGAUGCUGGAGACCUACCAGAACAUCACUGCUAUAGGCUACAAUUUGGAAGACCAUCAUAUUGAAGAACAUAGUCAAAGUUCUAGAAGACAUGAAAGGCAUGAAAGAAUUCAUAUUGGAGAGAAACCGUAUGAACGUAACCAAUGGGGUAAAGCCUUUGCAAGUGACAAUCAUCUCCAAAUACAUAAAAAAACAAAUACUGGAGAGAAA